CUCUCGCCAAUUUUAACCCUUCGGGUACUACACCCGCCGACGAUGUCUGCUCACCGGUGCCAGGGUGCACCUUUCAUCCCCCUCCUCUCCUCCUCCCCUUCGAGUUUCGUGUCUACGAACAGUAGAAGAACGAUGUACUGUGUGAAUACGAGACAGGGAAGCUCAUUGGCAUAAGAGCCAGCCACGACAUGGUCGACGUUGAUCCUCAUCGACGUAUUCGUCGCUGUAUACGCGAAGAUGAAACUGUGAGAAGUUGCGCAGGGCGGCGGUGUCUUCUUAUUGGAAAUCUUCUGGGGGGGAAAAUCGGAGUAACUCAACCGUUAACUUCCAUGUCAUAUCGGCAAUCGAGACGAGGAGGACGAUUUAAAAGGAUUCUCCAUCAAGCGCCCGGGAGUUUCGUUGGCUAGUACAACCGAGCUCGCACAUCCAUCGGCCUCCAAUAUCUCUCCCCUCCCUCCAUUCGUUUUCCGUCCUCCUUGAUUCCCUCCUUUCCUCCGUUCCUCUUUCCCCUUGAUUCCUUUUCAGUCUUCCGAUCGCAGUCAGCUCGUUGGCGGUGUUCGGUUUCUGAUUAUCGGAAAUCGAUCCCCUGGCAAGCCGUUAAGGGCACGGUCGACUAAGCUGGUUGGAACUCUUUUUACUUUCUCUCUGUCUUUCUCCCAUGGGCCACCAAACAUAUGAUUAGUGGAUACACGAUAUUUUACCCGAUAAAUCAGCGGAUCUGCCAUACACGAGCAUCUCACAGUUUCAACAUAUAAUGUAAACACUUUGUCUAAUACAUGUUUCAUCACCGUUUUAUGAUGUUACAGAAAAUACUUUGAUAAAAUCUCUCGAAAAAAUAUAGCCGUAUUACCCGCAAAUUUAUUAUAGAUUUACUAAAUUAAGGAAAAAUUUAUGUAAAAUUUUUAUGUAACAAAUCACGGACACAAAGCCUUGGAAAAUUGUUUGUAAAAAGUUUAAAGCGGCGCUUCGGAGACGCUACAUUUACAUUUUGGCUGAACGAUUCGUCUUGCCUCGGAAUUCAUAGAUUUAUAGUAUCCCGUAAUGUUCGAAUUUACCGAAUAAAGCAACUAGGACGCACUGAACCGUGUCGUAUGUUUUUUCCCUAGUUUGAUUCUUCGAGUUUUCCCCUCCUAUUCCAUGCGAACUACUGGCGGCUCGUUGCCGGUGUUCGGUUCCUGAUUAUCGGAAAUCGAUCCGUGGCAGGCCGUUAAGGGUACGGUCGAACAAACCGGUAGGUACACCGUGAGAGGAGGGACGCAACACCAGGCUACCAUCAAUACGUGAUCGCCGGAUGUACGGCGCGCGACACGGUCGUUCACAUUUAAAUAUCACCGGCGCGACGACACGAUCUCUGAUUCUCGGUAUUAGGCUAUUGAAGUUUAGAACUAUUAAAAAUUAAACGUAAAUGGAUGAAAACGUCGAGUGAAAUGAAUGAAUAAAAUUCAAUAUGCCAGAAAAUUUACUGACAUAGUAAUAAUUAUUAUUUACGAUUGUCUCAUACUCGAGUAUUCAACGAAGCGGAUUUUAAUUUUGCAACGGUCUCGUUACAAAGAUUUACGUACUAACAAAUGGAUAAUUUACCAUCGACACGCGGCCAGCUUUGCCAACGACCCACGGAUAGACAUAAAACAGAAGCAAAGCAUAAAAUUAGUUCGUUUACGAACUGUUGCUCGUACGUGUUUAUUUAUCUCGGAAAUCGUAGGCGCGUUGUACGUAGCGAGAGGAGGCUAUUCUCGAGAGUAUGGGCCGAAAGGGGAACGAAAAUUGAGCACCGCGGGCGGCCGUUGUAAAUUAAAUUUGGUUGCAAAGGAAGUCAUAACGGCCGGCACGUGCCCGUCGCUGUUGCAUGGCGUAUACGUGCGUCACGGGAUUAUGAAAAAAAUCUUCCGCGGCGAGUCGCGGGAGCCGGUCCCUCUUUUUUUUUCCUCUUUCGUCAGGAAGCGUGGCUCUUACGUGAUCCGAAUGCGUAAAGCUCGGUGUACAUUAGAUAAACCCGAUGGAAACCCGGACAAUUAUAACUCAAUUGUGAAGCCCACACUAUUUCGUGCUUCUUUCAAAAUAAUAUAGCUCUUAAAAAAAAAAUAUCUAAUUUUUAAAUUAAAUCUAUUCGCAAAAAAAACAUUUUCCAUAAUAAUUACAAGCCUGUUUGAUCAUUACUUUUAAUUCUUAUAAACAGAUCAAUCUUAUCGCCUUUCGUUUAUAAAAUAAUGUCGCGAGAGUGGCGACACAUUCGUUCCCCCUCAAUUAUUCACGUUGUUAAUUAAAUCCAUCUGCAUACAGUGCGCAUACGUUUAAACACUCAUCCCUCAUGCUUACCGUCCUUCUUUUUUUUCUACGAAAGCUCAUAAUAUGAGAGUAAAUAAUAAGGGAUGCACUGUACGCUCUCCCCAUCAGCAGUCUACACAAUUUUUCCAACGAGGGAGCGCGGUGAAAGGAACGACGUUAUGACGCGCUAUAUUUUCUCCCUUUUCAUCUGGUGCGCCGCGUCUUUCGUUGCAUUUUAAUGACGGAAUCGCGCGAGACUGAUGAUACUUGGAGUACAGGAGGGGAGAAGGAGGAGCAAAUGGGGGGGGAAAAAGAAACGUCCGGACGAUUAACGCUUCGAGGGCGAAUGGACUCGCACUCGCGCAUGAUCGAACGGCAGUCGGGCUUUGCUCUACCGUUUGCGAUCGGUUCCAGCUGAGCAAACUAAACCUCUAAACUAACGGCCUAUUAGGAAUUUAAACGCGGCAAUAAUCUCUGCGCGCGCGCGCGUAAACCACGCCGAGUGCCACUGGACAGUUGUUCUCUUUCCCUCUUUAUCUCUUCUAUAAUUAUAAUAAAACCGUAACGAAACGAUUAACUGCUUCACUUAGUGUGAAAGCUACUAUCACAAUAUAUUUCUCAUCCGCGCACGUGUGACUGUACAAUCCGGUACGUUAAGUCCGGUAGUGAAGUGACUCGAAUAUCAAUUACACACUCUCUCUACGGGGUAGCGCGCGGUUACCCCGUAGGUGAACCGGUUGUUGUAUUGAUCGCCACACAGGUGAUCGUAGAUUAGAGAACACGAAUUAAUAACGUACUAUUAAUAACGUUGUAAUACAGCGUAUUGGAAAAUAUGCUGCACGACCGCAGCGGCCGUUUUACGAACGGGAAAUGGAAGAGGAAACGAGUGGAAAUAUUCUCCUGCUAAUCUACAACAUGGAAUUGAAAUUGCAACUCCCGAGUGAUUUAAGUACACGUCCCGGCCGUAAAAGUGAGGAUUUAAAUAAUUCGGCGAUUUCCAUCUGUCCUCCCUCCCACCUGCCUUCAUCGAAAUGCGUCGCGCUCGUAAACGUGCAGCGCGCGCGCGCGAGGCUCUUUCGUUCGCUGACUUUUUCCACAUUAAUGAAAUACCGACUCGCCUGUUUGCAAGCGUAAGCGCGCCGGGCUUCCUGUGCGUGCGCGAUAACGCACAGGACGGAGAUCUUCCUGUUCCUUCGUUCGCAUUUAUCGUCGUACGCUCGACCGGGCCGCGAGAAGGAGACACACGGCUUCCGAGCGAUGUCCCCCCGAUCAUCGGAGGCGUCUGCACGCAAACAAGCCGGUAGUUCACCGGACUGGUGAAUGGGUAAGCGAGCGGUAGAAAGAUGGAGGACGUCAGGAUUCCACCGAAGGAAGGAGAAACGAUUAGCGAUUCAGAUUUCAGAUUUCUAUCACAUGGUCGUGGCUGUGCAGGAGGAGACCUACAGGCAAAAACCGAGCACUCAUAGAUUCUUCAGCAUCAUUGGUACUUGCCCUUAGUUCUUCAUCCCCUCCACAGCCGCUGAAGAGUGUAACUUUGAUUACCGUUGCAUAAUACGACGGAUCCAAAAUGGCACGGACGGCCGACGUGUGUUCGGUAUUUCCGCUACGGUCGCAGCACGUGGCGUCAUAUUUUUAGAACGUGCCGUACGGAGUCACACCUAAUACUCGCCCGACGACAGGUGGAUCGUUAAACGAGAGCCUCGCGCGCGUGUGCGCGUAUGCGUGUGCGUCUCCGCGUUUCUCUCUCUCCUUUCUCUCACCUUUUUUUUUUUCUCUCUCUCCUUUCUCCGUGCCGCCGACGGUGACGAAUGUCACCGCGCGCGUUGUGUGAAAAUGUCAGCGCCAUGUACGAGGUAUUUAGGAACGCCAUGGGGAACCGGUUGUACACGUCUCUUGCGCGCUUUAACUCUCGGAGCGCGCGCGCGCGAUGAUUCGCGCGUUGCGGAGAAUUUAGGGGGAGGCUCCGGCAGGUUUUCGACAUCGAACGGAAAAACGGCGACGUGUGUAACAAAAGGGACAAGAUUAAUUCGCGCGGGAUAUCCUUGCGCUUGUAGCAAGCGCCGCCGGGAAAUGCGUAACAUAUUGCACGCGCGGCUCGCGCAUUGCGAGAGGAUAAAUGUAUCCUUUCACGUUGCGUUUCCUCCCUUCGCGCGGGGAGCGCGUUUUUUUUUUUCGGAACGCGGGAAAAGCGUCAAAGACCCGAACGAAGGGGAAAAAA